GACUUGGAGGUUGUGCCCUUGAGGCGUGGCUUCCGGAGCUAACGCGUUAAGUCGACCGCCUGGGGAGUACGGCCGCAAGGUUAAAACUCAAAUGAAUUGACGGGGGCCCGCACAAGCGGUGGAGCAUGUGGUUUAAUUCGAUGCAACGCGAAGAACCUUACCUGGUCUUGACAUCCACGGAAGUUUUCAGAGAUGAGAAUGUGCCUUCGGGAACCGUGAGACAGGUGCUGCAUGGCUGUCGUCAGCUCGUGUUGUGAAAUGUUGGGUUAAGUCCCGCAACGAGCGCAACCCUUAUCCUUUGUUGCCAGCGGUCCGGCCGGGAACUCAAAGGAGACUGCCAGUGAUAAACUGGAGGAAGGUGGGGAUGACGUCAAGUCAUCAUGGCCCUUACGACCAGGGCUACACACGUGCUACAAUGGCAGAUACAAAGAGAAGCGACCUCGCGAGAGCAAGCGGAACUCAUAAAGUCUGUCGUAGUCCGGAUUGGAGUCUGCAACUCGACUCCAUGAAGUCGGAAUCGCUAGUAAUCGUAGAUCAGAAUGCUACGGUGAAUACGUUCCCGGGCCUUGUACACACCGCCCGUCACACCAUGGGAGUGGGUUGCAAAAGAAGUAGGUAGCUUAACCUUCGGGAGGGCGCUUACCACUUUGUGAUUCAUGACUGGGGUGAAGUCGUAA
rnacentral:rRNA from 1 species